UGGGGAAUUUUGGACAAUGGGGGAAACCCUGAUCCAGCCAUGCCGCGUGAGUGAAGAAGGCCUUCGGGUUGUAAAGCUCUUUCAGCCGGAACGAAACGGUCACGGCUAAUACCUGUGACUACUGACGGUACCGGAAGAAGAAGCACCGGCUAACUACGUGCCAGCAGCCGCGGUAAUACGUAGGGUGCAAGCGUUAAUCGGAAUUACUGGGCGUAAAGCGUGCGCAGGCGGUUUUGUA
rnacentral:rRNA from 1 species